AAGGUUUGGCACCACGAGGCCUAUAAAUCACUACUGCGUGAAUGCCACCUCAGUCGACUUCUGUUCUUGCUGCAGUCAACAACCUCUCUCCUCCAAAAUGGUUUCUCGCGUCGUGUUCGCCUGCUUGGUCGUAAUUCUGCUGGCUGCCUGCGCCUUGGCCUUCCCUGACCCGAGCGGAGGAUACGGAAUCCGCACCUAUGGAUACGGACACGGCCACGGACACAUCGGCCAUGGAUACGGACAUGGCUAUGGCGGCCACCGUGUGAUUUUAACCCAUGGCGGUCAUGGCGGCGGAUACGGAUACAGGCCGGCGUACUGGUGAAAGGCCACAUGUUCCAGUUAGAUGCUGUCCAUGGACUCUGCCUCCAGUAACAUGAUAGGUAAAGAGAUUUUAACAAAAUAAGGAAACGAAUUUUUUUUUCAGUUCUUUCUCUUGUUUAAAAUCUUCUUCCAGUUUGUCUAGCUGGUCUCUAUCUUGCUUACAAUAAAGACUAUUUUCUUUUAAUAA